CUAACCUUUUCAAACAAUAAGGCUUCUUUCUCAAUUACCAACUUAACAUUUCCCUGUAUGGCCCCGGAAGAUGACUGGUUAGCCAGAGACGGGUAAGAUUCCUCAAGGGAGGAACAACCUAAGACAGGCACAGUCGCAGGGGGGCCAUCAGGUGAGAAAUUGGGAAUCAACAGAGGUGAGGCUCAGAACCUCACACCCCCCCUGUUUUGAGAGAAAUCUUCUGCAUCUGUGGAUGUUUUGUUGCCCUUGUCUAGCUUGGAUUAAUACUUAGUCCAUAGGCACACACCUGAUCAUCUACAUUUGCCCUCUUACAGCACUAAAUUAUGUUUUCUACCUUUAUCUUGCAUAUACCUACCACUUCAGCAUUUUAUUAA